CCGAUGCGGGGCUCGGUCCCAGGACCCUGGGAUCAUGACCUGAGCAGAAGGCAGACACUUAACUACUGAGCCACCCAGGUGUGGGGCAUUCUUGUUGAGCAUAUAUUCCCUCUCCUUCCUCUUCCCAUGAAAGGAGUAGACUUUUCCACACCAGUAGAGGGCUUAGCCAUGUAACCUGUUUGGCCAGUGAAAUGUGAAUAUCCGAGCAGAGGUAUGCUGUUAUAGUGUGGGUUCUGUGUUCUCUCCCUUUCCCACAGGAAGGACAUGCUCCAGCCUCCUACUGCUCCUUCAUCCUGGGUCCUAAAAUAGAAAGACAUGAGACAGCCCUGAACCCAACUGGAUGCAAUGCUGCUAAAAUGCUGACCUACAGACCCGCAGGCAAGGAUACAGGAGAACUUGAAUGGCUCCACCCUAUUCCUAUGAGGCUUGUGCACACGGUAUGAGCUGUGCCCAUCAGAUUCUCUCCCUGGACCUUAACCUCAACUGAAAAGACACAAAAGACAAGGAAAGCCUGGCCUCUGAGAUGCGCCCCUGGUGAGCUCCAACCUAUGAGAACUAGCAUCGGUUCAUGGCGCCUGGUCAUUGGCCUGACUACUGCUUUCUAGAGUUGAGGGAAUGAGUAAAGCCGAGAGAGAACUGCAGAUGCUGGCUUCUGGGAAACCAGCCUGAUGACCUGAAACUGGAGAAGUUCCCCAGACGGUGUGAGGGGGAUUGUCCUCCUGACCCCUCACCUCCCCACAGCCCUGGGUCACCUUCCUCUGUUUACUGAGAACACGCCUGUGAGAAAACCCGGGCCUGCCUGGGCUGGUGAGCAGUGUAUGAGAGAAUUUGAACUUUAUCCAUCUUGACAUUUCUGCCUUGGUAUGUGUGACUGUUCUUACACAUAUGGAUUGGAUCAAAUGAGAUAAUUUAUGCAAAAGCACUUUGCAAUUUUUCAAGGGCUAUCCACGCAAGGUAUUGCUUGUUGCUAUUAUUACCAUCCCACAGGAAAGGGUUUCCUCUUUAACAUACCCAUGUAUUUGAUUAAAAUUAGGUGGUAAAUUGGCAAACCCAUAAAGUGCUUUCUUGUGUCGUCUGUCACCUGUACCUAUGGUGACCAUAUGGCCUGCGUUUUCCAGGAUGGCCCAGAUUCCACGUCAUUUUAUUCUUUUUUUUUUUUUUUUAAAGAUUUUAUUUAUUUAUUUGAGAGAAAGAGUGAGAGAGAGAAAGAGCACAAGAGGGGGGAGCGGGAGAGGGAGAAGCAGACUCCCCGCCGAGCAGGGAGCCCGAUGCGGGACUCGAUCCCGGGACUCCAGGAUC